GUCAGUCGGCAGAUCUAGUCAUCGUCACAUUUAUGCAAGCGUCAAGUGAAACAAUAAGCCGCCCGAGCGGUAGUCGAGCGGUUCGGUAAUGCGAGCUAAUUUAUUCGAUUAGCCAGUCGCAUCCACAAAACACAGACAGAGAGACAGACAGACAGGCACAGGGCAAAUGGUCACGAAUCUUGUUUAUCUAUCGAGUGCAUUCAUGCAACGCCCAAAGCAAGCCACAUGCCACUUGCCCGUGAAGCAACCCGCUGCCUGCACACUGAAUAUGCACACUCUGGAAGGUGGACCGGAUUUGGCAUAGAACCGGAAUGAGUGCAACAGACACUGGCGGCGGCAUUAUACAAUAGCUAAAUAAAAAACGAGCACAUACUUGGAGUGUUCGAUUCCGAUUUGUUUGAAACGAAUCGAACCAAGAAGCUUCCACGCCGUCCUUGGCAUUCAAUUGUUGAUCUUGAUUGAAUCCCAGGAAUCCCAAGGAAGCCCAUUGAGGAGAGACACUGUCUAUAGAUUGCUUUGAAGACAUUUCUAGCUUUUCUUACUAACAAAAUCUGUUGAUAUUAGACGUAACUUUUUGCAUACUAUACGCUCACAUUCAGCCCUUUUUAUUUGUAUCUGGUCGUAGGUAGUAUUGUCACACUUCUGGCUGGCUCCAUUGGCAUGCACUUGGUACCUUAACCCUGCCAGUAAAUGGAAAGCGAUUCAUCAUGCUGCCUCAUCAUCAUCAUCAAGCCACAAGAUAAGCGAACAAAUGUGAAAUCUUAUCGCUGGCUUCCGAAUAUCAACUCCGAAUGAGCUCUAAAGCUACAGUGAGCUAAAGUAAGUGCCAAUUAGACGCAUUUUUGUUACAGUUUCUGGCCGUAAUGACUGGCCGGAGAGUGUUUAUUAUUCUUUUAAUGCACUUGCACUUAAGUGUGCACUUACGUGUGUAUCUACACUCGUCAUUUUGGUGGACAAU
rnacentral:lncRNA from 1 species